rnacentral:rRNA from 1 species
AUGAACGCUGGCGGCGUGCCUAAUCCCUGCCAGUCGAGCGAACGGACGAGAAGCUUGCUUUUCUGAUGUUAGCGGCGGACGGGUGAGUAACACGUGGAUAACCUACCUAUAAGACUGGGAUAACUUCGGGAAACCGGAGCUAAUACCGGAUAAUAUUUUGAACCGCAUGGUUCAAAAGUGAAAGACGGUCUUGCUGUCACUUAUAGAUGGAUCCGCGCUGCAUUAGCUAGUUGGUAAGGUAACGGCUUACCAAGGCAACGAUGCAUAGCCGACCUGAGAGGGUGAUCGGCCACACUGGAACUGAGACACGGUCCAGACUCCUACGGGAGGCAGCAGUAGGGAAUCUUCCGCAAAGGGCGAAAGCCUGACGGAGCAACGCCGCGUGAGUGAUGAAGGUCUUCGGAUCGUAAAACUCUGUUAUUAGGGAAGAACAUAUGUGUAAGUAACUGUGCACAUCUUGACGGUACCUAAUCAGAAAGCCACGGCUAACUACGUG